AUGUGUUACACAAAUCCUAAUGCCAAUGUGUCGCAUGAACCGGGCGGCGGCGGCGGCGGCAGCGUGGAGUCGCGAGGAGUUGCGUGGGAGAGAGAUUGGGGGCUGGCUGCGCGGGAGGGAGGGAGGAGUGGCCUAGCAGGAAAUAAUCAGAAGGAAUUUCCGGAUGCGAGCGCUAUACUCAACAUGCCAAGAACACGGAUGGCUAUUUCUGAUUUUUGGACAUGGGGACACGAAAGAUCUGGGAUUUUCACGGUCCGAUCCGCAUAUCGUAUGCUUAUGGAAGAACAACAAGCAAAGUUCAUUCAAGUUGGGAAUUCAUCCCAAGGUGAGGAAACCUGGAAGUCGUUAUGGCGGAUUCAGGUACAACCAAAAAUAAGGAUUUUUUGGUGGCGAGUCCUCAAAGGAUUUCCGCCGGCAAAGGAGGAGCUGUGUAGGAGGCAUAUAGGGGAGGAUUCCACUUGCCCAAUGUGUGGUCACCAAGAGGAGUCACUUCAUCACUCUCUGGUGAUGUGCGAUCAUGCAAAAUUGUUCUGGAGGGAAGCUGAGAAUUUUUUCGACUUCAAAUUACCCCGGCUACACCCAGUUACUUGGUCACGGGAUUUGCUAGACCCGGGGUUUGUCAGCAAGGCUAGAGCGGCCAUCAUUAUCUCAGUUAUGUGGGCAAUAUGGUCGAGCAGGAACAAGUACACCCAUGAGGAGGUUAAGUACCAGCCUGUUCACCAGAGGAACAAUGUGGACUGGAUACCACCAGAGCCCGACUGUGUAAAGGUUAACACAGAUGAUGCGGUUGAUGUGAAUGGGGGAAUUUCAGCCAUUGGACUUGUGGCAAGAGAUCAGGACGGACUCGUGCUCGCCAGAAGUCGUAAGGUAAGAGGGGUGACUGACCCGUAUGUUGCUGAACUCCUAGGGGUGCGAGAAGUUGUGCGUCUAGCUAUGGAGAAGGGCUGGACGUGGGUUGCCAUUGAAACGGACUGCCAAGCUGUCACGGAGGAAUGGAGGGCGUCGAAGUGCCGAUCGAUGGGAAGCCCAGUAAUCAGCGAAAUCAAAUCAUAUCUCCAAAACUUUCAGGGGCUGUGCAUCAGCUACGUGAGAAGAGAGGCCAACAAGGCUGCUCAUUGGUGUGCUCAGGAGGGCCUCAAGAGUGCCUCGGAUGUUAUUCUUUUUGAUGUAUUCCCUGAUUCUCUGAUAGUGCAAUCUGAUGAGGAGGGGGAGGGAGGUUACAUACUGGAGAGGAGUUGGUUGUGGUCGAAUUCGAAAAGCGGGACGGGGUCGAUGCAGGGGGUAAACGAGGCGGGUGAUAGGCGCCGGCGGACCGGCCCAAAUUUGGGCCGGUCCGCUCGCAGCCAUACGAUUUGGAUGAUGCUAACCGUAAGAUACACAACGGGCCGGUACAGAAAAGAUUCCCCUGAAUCUCGUCGCUUCUUUCAUCUCGCCGGCCGCACAAGCUCUCUGUUUGCUGCCAUACCACAAGCCCACGCGGCCCGCGCCGCCAAGCGGGCCGUCGCCGUCGUGUCCCCAUCCUUUCCAGCUCGAGCGCCGCCGCUGCCGCAACACUGUUCCGGUUGCACGCCGGAAUCGAAUCCGCUCGUCUCUUCUCGUCCGACUCCUCCCCGCCAGUCUCCGAGUUGCCGCCUGAAGCGGCGGGUCGGGUCGGAUUCAGAGAGGGACCUGCCACUCUCCACCUCGCCCUCCGGCGACGGCGGCGGCGACCUCGCUUGGCCGAACCACACCGACACGCCGGUGAGUUCCGACCCGCCUUGCCCCCCUCGCUCCCCCAGAUCCCUCUCGCUGGGAGGACCCCUGCCUAAAAUGGUACAUGGCGCACGAACUCUACUUAUUUGGACUGCAGAAAUGGUUUCUUGUGUUCAUGCACCGGACACAAGUUUUCCCACGCUCAAUCUUGUGAAGAACAACAACAACAACAACAACAACGAAAACCACACCACCGGUAACUUGAGAUUGCUUCUGAAUCCAUAA
rnacentral:rRNA from 1 species